rnacentral:lncRNA from 1 species
UGGAGUGUUCUGUAGAUAUCUCCUGUUCAAGUUGGUUCAUAGCAUUGUUCAAGUUUGGUAUCUCUUGUGGAUCCUUUUUAGAGUAAUAGUUUUUAUUGUUAUUAUUAUUAUUAUUUUCUAUCUCCAGCAGUAUUUUUUUUCUCUUAGAGUCUAUUUCGUCUGAUAUGAGUAUUGCCACCUCAGAUAUCCUUUGGUUACUGUUUGCAUAUCCUUUUACUUUCAAUGUACAUGUGUAUUUGAGUAUAAACUGUUUGCCUUAUAGACAACAUAUAGUUGGAUCAUGUUAGAUUUUUAAAAAAGAAUCCACUCUGUUAAUCUAUGCUUUUUAAAAUUUGAGUGUUUAAUCCAUUUACAUUUAGUGUAAUUACUGAUAAGGUAGUAUUUAUGUCUACAUUUUGCUAUUUGUUUUCUGUAUGUCUUAUGUCUUCUUCAUUUCUCUAUUCAUCCAUUAUUGCCUUUUUUAGAGUUAAAUGCUGAUUUUUCCAGUAUGCCAUUUUAUUCUCUUGUCUUUUUUUAUUGUAUUUUGAAUUAUUUUAUUUUAUAGUGGUUGCACUAGAGAUUAAAAUUAAAAAUUAUAGGAACUUACUUCAGAUUAAUACCAUUUUAAUUACACUAGUAUACAAAAUUUUUACCUUUGUGUAUCUCUGUUCCUUAUUAUUAUUAUUAUUAUUAUUUUCUAUCUCCAGCAGUAUUUUUUUUCUCUUAGAGUCUAUUUCGUCUGAUAUGAGUAUUGCCACCUCAGAUAUCCUUUGGUUACUGUUUGCAUAUCCUUUUACUUUCAAUGUACAUGUGUAUUUGAGUAUAUGCUAUAAGACAAAUUGAUUCUGUCAUACAGCUUAGAGACAAUUUCAGGCAGUAUAAUGCAUACUGGUGGUGAGAGAUUUUCUUUCAUAAAAUGGUUGUCUUUUUUUGAACCACAGUCAUUUUUUUGGGGGGGGGGAAAUAGCAGUUCAUCUUGAAAUACCUUUUAUCUACAUAUUUUGUUCUCUUAUUCUGUGACAUCUCUUCUUUUUUUCUCACUACAGUAGACUUUGUCAAGCAGCAUUCUUUUCAUUUUUGCAUUCUGAUAGAAUUUCUCAAGUUUUCCCCUCUACCAGGGUGCAAGUUCUGAUCUUUACUUCUGUGUGGACUCUUCUUCUGUACUUAUAUUUUCAGUUUCUGUGGCUUGCCUUCUCUUUUAUUUAGCUCCUUCUGAACAUAGCUUUCUUUCUCCUUCAAAGGAGACCUGGGUUAAGGCAAACACUCAGAAGGAUGCUGUUUGCCUGCAGUCCACCUGGGAUGCCAGUCUUUGAAAGACCUUUCUGGUCCUGUGGAUUAUUUUUAGAGGAAUGUUCUUCCUCUUAAUGUUAAUAUGCUUAUGCUCCUCCAUUUACUUGUGUUUCUGAAGGAGGCACAUGAAUUGGUGUUUUCUCUUUUACUUGGUGUUUUCACAAUAUCAUUGGACAUUUUAUUUAUAAUAACUUUGUUGUGAAAAAUGAUAAAUACCCAUUAUCAGUCAUUCAGAUAAUACAGAAAGGUAUAAGAAAAUAAAGGAAAAAAACCACAGACACAAAAUGCCACCUUCAACAACAAGUGCUCAAUGACAUCUGGUAACAACGAUUCAGGCAUCCCUUUGUUCAUGGAUAUAAGUAAAGGGGGAUGAAUAUAAAGAGUUUUAUAUUGAAUGUUCUACUUUAAGGGUAAAUAUUAAAAUGUAAAUUUCAUUUUGCUUUAAUAGGAAAUAGAACCAGUGGAAAAGGUUAUGAAAAGUCUUUAAUAGUUGGAUUCAUUCUUUUUAAAAAUUUAUUUUAUUUUAAAUACUUUUUUUCUUUUUUAGGGCUGCACCCGUGACACAUGGAAGUUUCCAAGCUAAGGGUUGAAUCUGCGCUACAGCUGCCAGCCUACACCACAGCCUUAGCAACGUGAGAUCCAAGCUGCACCUGCACCCUACACCAUAGCUCAUGGCCACACCAGAUCCUUAACCCACUGAGCGGGAUCGAACCCAUGUCCUCAUGGAUACUAGAGGUUCAUUACUGCUGAGCUACAAUGGGAACUCCUAUUUGAAAGACUUUUAAUGCUAAACCAGUUUAAUAUUUUUUUAGAAACUUAUUUUAUUGAAAUACAGUUGAUUUACAAUGUUGUGUUAGUUUCUUUACAGCAAAAUGAUUCAGUUAUAUAUAUGUGUAUGUAUAUAUAUUCUUUUCAUAUUCUUUUCUACUAUGGUUUACUACAGGGUAUUGAAUGUAGUUCCCUGUACUAUACAGUAUGUCCUUGUUGAUUUUUCAAAGUCAUUCUUUUUUUAAAUUAAAAGUUCAGGUUUGCAAGGUGUUUCUUAAAUACCUAUUGUGAGUACAGAGGAAAUUAGCAGACACAUACCUAAUUUCACAGAAUAGGGUAGCAUGGGGGUUAACACUUGCACCCAGACAACCCACAAUCAAGUCCCAGUGCUGCCGCUUGACCUUGGGCAGAUGGGGAUACCGCACUGUGACUCAGUAUUAUUCCUUAGUAAGAAGAAGUAAUCUUCCUAAGACAGAGUGGAUUAUAACAGUAUCUUUCUCAAAAAGUUGUUGCAAAGUUGAGUUGUUAUUAUAAUUUAUAGGCUGUCUGGCACAUUAAUAUUAUUAUUUUCCAUCUCUGCAGCUUGUUUUUUUCCUAGUUAGAGCUUAUGUUUACAAGGCAGAUCUAGUAACAUUCGUAUUCUCCUCUGUGCCCCUGCUUCCUACAAUAUUUCACUGUCAUCCCAUAUUUAAGUGCUUGUGGUGCACCCCUGCAGCCCUGGGCACCACAGCCUCUAUCCUCCUAAGAUGUUUUCUCUACUAAGGGCUAAAUUCUUUAUUUUGGUUAAUUUAUGUGUGGCCAGAUGUUGUUAUCUGGUCGUUUUUUGUUUGUUUGUUUGUUUCAGGAUAAGGACUUAUAAUUGUUUCAGUCCUUAAAUUCCUGAAAAGAAUUUGCUCUCCACCUGAAAGGAUACCUACGUACACAUCAGUUUCUUUCCCUCAGGAUAAUACAGUCCAGCCACCCCCUGAAAGACACCAUCCCCUGUGCUGCUACUCUGUCUUUCCUUAGUUAGGAUGGAAAAAUAAAUGUAGUAGAAGAGCACAGAGAAAAUAUAUACAGUGUGCACUUGGGUCAUAACAUCCAGUUGGAACAAAUAAUACUUUGCUGUAAUUGCUUCAAAUCUGUGUAAAUGACAUAAGUUCACAUGCAACUGAAGCUCCCCUUGCACAUGGGCCCAGCCCCGGCCCGCCCUCCUUCUUUCUCCUUCCUCUGUGGUUGCUGCUGUCUUGCAUGUGGUGUGUUUUCUUCCUGCCUGCACUUUUGUGCUUGCUACUGUAUGUCUGUGAUCAGCAUGUACUAUUGUUUGGUAUAUUUUAAAAUUCACAUUAUAAAUGACAUUUUAUUAUCAGUAGCGUUUCUUCUACUUUCUUCUUUUUGUCAGUGCUAUUUUCUAGAGUUAUUCUUGUUGAUAAUGUGUAGAUCUCAUCAUUGACUUUAAAUGCCAUGUACUUAAUACUGCAUUGUGUGAAUGGUAACCUUAGAGCUCUCCAUUUUUUUAGUCUUUCUUACAAGGGGGAUUCAGCUACCAUACUUGUAUCUGACUGUGUGUGCUCCUGAGGGACCAUUUUCCUAGGGCACUGGGUCUCAAACUUGCCUGAACAUUGGGAUCCCCUAGAGAGUUAAAAAAUGCUGACGUCUUAUAGCCCCAGGUAGUCUAAUGUAAUUGAUCUGGCAUGCAGCCUGGGCAUCAGCAUCUAAAAAUCUCUCCAGGAAAUUCUAAUGUGCAACAGUGUUUGAGAGCCUCUGCUUUAGGCAUCACUAUCCAAUGGAGGAAUUAUAGAUUACCUGUGACUUUUCUGAUUUAAAUUAAUUAAGUAUAUAGUAUGAAUACAGUUCCUCAGCUGUACUAACCACCUUUCAAAUGCUUAAGGGCCACCAGUGGUUGGUGGCUACCAUAUUGGACAGCACAAGUGUGGGACAGUCCCCUGGUCAGAGGGCACUUACUCUAGCAUGUACACCCGGGCAGGCAUUUGCUGGUAAGAAGAUGUGCCUCACUGUCCUGGCUGCAGAUGUGCUGCUUCUACUCCUCCUUGUGCAACAAUUGCCACAUGUUUAGUGGCUUAGAGUGACAUAAGGGAGUUCCUGUCAUGGCUCAGCAGUAACAAACCUGACUAGUAUCCAUGACGACGCAGAUUUGAUCCCUGGCCUCGCUCGGUGGAUUAAAGAUCUGGCGUUGCUGUGAGCUGCAGUGUAGGCCACAGAUCAGCUCUGGCUCCACAUUGCUGUGGCUGGGGGCAUAGUCUGGCAGGUGUAGCUCGGAUUUGACCCCUAGCCUGGGAAUUUCCAUAUGCC